ACUUGCUGUCUCUGCUCUCUCCCUUCAUUAUUUCUGUGUCAUGGAGGCAUUGAGCUGAUUUAUGUCUUCCCCAAAUUCCUCUUAUGAAGUCUUAACCCACAGUAUCUCAGAAUGAAACUAUAAUUGGAUAUGGCAUCUUUAAAGAGAUAAUUUAAAUAAGCUGAGGUCAUAUGGGUAGACUCUAAUCCAAUAUGACCGAUGUCCUUAUAAGGAAAGUAAAUUGGGACUGUAGCCCACCAGGCUUCUCCAUCCAUGGGAUUUUCCAGGCAAGAGUACUACAGUGGGUGGCCUCUAGGAUCCCCUGGGAAGAUCUCCAGGGGAUCUUCCCGAUCCAGGGAUCGAACCCAGGUCUCCCGCAUUACAGACAGAUGCUAUAACCUCUGAGCCCAUGAGACUCCCUCAAAUUGGGACAUAGAUGUAUGCAGAAGGAAGACAAUAUAAAAACAGAGCAAGAUAGCUUUAAGUCGAAUAAAGUUGCCUAGGACAGAUUCCUCCCUCAUGACUCUGAGAAGGAACCAAGCCUGCUGACACCUUGAUCUCAAAUUUCUAGCCUCCAGAACUAUGAGAAAGUAAGUUUCUGUUUAAGCCACUCCGUCUGUGGUAUUUUGUUCCAACAGUCCUAGCAAACUAAUAUAAGACAGUUAACUCCAUUUUACAAUUUAACUCAACCUCCACGUUUUGUAUCUCAGGAAAAUUGAUGGACUCAUGCAGACAUUUCAUUCUCUAGGAGAUAAGAGGCUGAAUUAACCCACCAGGUAGUCUUCUUGAAUUUGAUCCAUUAUAUGGAAACCAUAGGGCUUCCCUGGUGGCUCAGAUGGUAAAGCGUCUGCUGCAAUUUGGGAGACCCAGGUUCGAUCCCUCAGUCAGAAAGAUCUUCUGGAGAAGGAAAUGGCAACCCACUCCAGUACUCUUGCCUGGAAAAUUCCAUGGAUGGAGGAGACUGGUGGGCUACAGUCCAUGGGGUCGCAAAGAGUCGGACACGACUGAGCGACUUCACUUUCACUUUCUUUUCAUGGAAACCGACUGGCAUGCUUUCUACUCUCAUUUUUGCCUGUGGUCUCUUGUGCUCACAGAUCUUUGCUCCUCUGGGUAUAAUUUCUAUUUCCUAGUAUUGGAAGAUGAGAUGUGGCCACUUGGUAUUCAUAGCUAUCUUUUCUACAUGCGUGAUGGGGGACAGGAAGACACCAAUGCUGGACCACCCUGGGGAUAAAACUGAAAACAUC
ensembl:lncRNA